AUUUAGAUAGUUUAAAUAAAAACGUUGGUUUGUGAUGCCGAAAUUAUAAUAUUUUAUUCUAGAUC
rnacentral:tRNA from 1 species